AGCCCUGGGGUAAGCCAGCUGCUUCUUAUGAAGAGGUGCAAGUGGACAAGAACUGAUGUCUCCAGCCCACAGCCAGAGAGGACCUGAGGCCUGCCAGCAGCCGUCGAAGUGUACAAUUUUUCCAGAGGCCACAUGAAAUGCAGUGUUGCAACAGAUUGAAUAUAGAAGUAGAUAAGAGAACCCAGCUGUCUCCCAUCAAGCCAGACAUUAAGGAGAUUUCCAAAAAUGUCAAACAGUGCUACUCU
rnacentral:lncRNA from 1 species